rnacentral:rRNA from 1 species
GGCUCAUUAAAUCAGUUAUCGUUUAUUUGAUAGUACCUUACUACAUGGAUAACCGUGGUAAUUCUAGAGCUAAUACAUGCUAAAAACCCCGACUUCGGAAGGGGUGUAUUUAUUAAAUAAAAAACCAAUGCCCUUCGGGGCUCCUUGGUGAAUCAUAAUAACUUAACGAAUCGCAUGGCCUUGCGCCGGCGAUGGUUCAUUCAAAUUUCUGCCCUAUCAACUUUCGAUGGUAGGAUAGUGGCCUACCAUGGUUUCAACGGGUAACGGGGAAUUAGGGUUCGACUCCGGAGAGGGAGCCUGAGAAACGGCUACCACAUCCAAGGAAGGCAGCAGGCGCGCAAAUUACCCAAUCCCGACACGGGGAGGUAGUGACAAUAAAUACUGAUACAGGGCUCUUUUGGGUCUUGUAAUUGGAAUGAGUACAAUUUAAAUCCCUUAACGAGGAACAAUUGGAGGGCAAGUCUGGUGCCAACAACCGCGGUAAUUCCAGCUCCAAUAGCGUAUAUUAAAGUUGUUGCAGUUAAAAAGCUCGUAGUUGAACCUUGGGCCUGGCUGGCCGGUCCGCCUCACCGCGUGUACUGGUCCGGCCGGGCCUUUCCUUCUGGGGAACCUCAUGUCCUUCACUGGGCGUGACGGGGAACCAGGACUUUUACUUUGAAAAAAUUAGAGUGUUCAAAGCAGGCCUUUGCUCGAAUACAUUAGCAUGGAAUAAUAGAAUAGGACGUGUGGUUCUAUUUUGUUGGUUUCUAGGACCGCCGUAAUGAUUAAUAGGGAUAGUCGGGGGCAUCUGUAUUCAAUUGUCAGAGGUGAAAUUCUUGGAUUUAUUGAAGACAAACUACUGCGAAAGCAUUUGCCAAGGAUGUUUUCAUUAAUCAGUGAACGAAAGUUAGGGGAUCGAAGACGAUCAGAUACCGUCGUAGUCUUACCCAUAAACUAUGCCGACUAGGGAUCGGUGGAUGUUACUAUUUUGACUCCAUCGGCACCUUACGAGAAAUC